UCUGGUGAUCAUAGCAGAGUGGACACACCCGUUCCCAUCUCGAACACGGAAGUUAAGCACUCUUACGUCGAUGGUACUACAAUUAUGUGGGAGAGUAGAUAGUUGCCAGAU
rnacentral:rRNA from 1 species